rnacentral:rRNA from 1 species
AUUGAACGCUGGCGGAAUGCUUUACACAUGCAAGUCGAACGGCAGCACGGACUUCGGUCAGGUGGCGAGUGGCGAACGGGUGAGUAAUACAUCGGAACGUGCCCAGUCGUGGGGGAUAACGUAGCGAAAGCUACGCUAAUACCGCAUACGAUCUAAGGAUGAAAGCGGGGGAUCGCAAGACCUCGCGCGAUUGGAGCGGCCGAUGGCAGAUUAGGUAGUUGGUGGGGUAAAGGCCUACCAAGCCGACGAGCUGUAGCUGGUCUGAGAGGACGACCAGCCACACUGGGACUGAGACACGGCCCAGACUCCUACGGGAGGCAGCAGUGGGGAAUUUUGGACAAUGGGCGCAAGCCUGAUCCAGCCAUUCCGCGUGCAGGAUGAAGGCCCUCGGGUUGUAAACUGCUUUUGUACGGAACGAAAAGGCUCUGGCUAAUACCCGGGGCUCAUGACGGUACCGUAAGAAUAAGCACCGGCUAACUACGUGCCAGCCGCCGCGGUAACAC